GACAGAGGUGCCAAGCGUUAGGCGGAAUCACUGGGCUUAAAGCGUGUGUAGGCGGAUCGUUAAGUACCUUGUGAAAUCCCACGGCUCAACCGUGGAACUGCUCGGUAUACUGGCGGUCUUGAGCCACCUAGGGGCAACUGGAACAAGCGGUGGAGCGGUGAAAUGCGUAGAUAUCGCUUGGAACGCCGAAGGUGAAAACAGGCUGCUGGGGUUGCGCCGACGCUGAGACACGAAAGCCAGGGGAGCAAACGGG
rnacentral:rRNA from 1 species